ensembl:snoRNA
GAGAACUGUCUCUUCAAGUCUUUUGCAGGCUACAGUGCCAGAGCACAAGCUUGUGCAUAACUGGGGCGUCUGUCCUCUAAGACUGUGGCCCUUUUAACCGCAAGCAACACGG